rnacentral:rRNA from 1 species
AUACGGGGGGUGCAAGCGUUAUUCGGAUUUAUUGGGCGUAAAGGGCGCGUAGGCGGCUUGGUAAGUCAGAUGUGAAAGCCCGGGGCUCAACCCCGGAAGUGCAUUUGAAACUAUCAGGCUUGAGUAUGGGAGAGGGAAGUGGAAUUCCUGGUGUAGAGGUGAAAUUCGUAGAUAUCAGGAGGAACACCGGUGGCGAAGGCGACUUCCUGGACCAAUACUGACGCUGAGGCGCGAAGGCGUGGGGAGCAAACAGGAUUAGAUACCCUAGUAGUCC